rnacentral:lncRNA from 1 species
CUGCAAUCAGCCAUUUCUCCAAGGAAACCUGAUUUCCUUUAGUAGCAAAUGGUAUUUGGAAGCCAAGACCUGGGUGCUAAAUGUGUUUAUUACUGUUGGGAUGUUGUUAGUCAGUAGACAGCAUAGACACAGACACACAGGUAGAACUAGAAUUAUUUCUGGAUUUACCUGUAUGUAUUGAAAACCGUGAGUUCACAGUGACACACCUAAUUCCAAUCCAAUGUCUUUUCAUAUUGUUCUCCAAUAGGAAAAAAUAGGCUUCCAUUUUCUUUAAAAUAUUUGCUUAUUUGAUCAAUUUCCUGUAUGUGACUGUAGUGGGUUGAAUGGUGGCCCCCACAAAGAUAUGUCUACAUCCUGGAACCUGUGAAUGUGACCUUAUUUGGAAAAAGGGGCUUUGCAGAUGUAAUUAAGUUAAAGAUCUCAAGACAAGAUUAUUUUGGAUUAUCUAGGUGGGCCCUAAAUCCAGUGGCAGGUGUCCUUAUAGACACACACAGAGGAGAGAGACAGAGAGAAGAGGAGAAGACCACGUAAAGACAGAGGCAGAGACUGGAGCUCGACAGCCACAAGCCAAGGAAUGAACGCCUUCCGCCAGAAGCUGGAAGAGGCCAGGGAAGACUCCCCCGAGAGCCUUCGGAGGCGGCACUGCCCUGCAGAUGCCUUGAUUUCAGACUUCUGUCCUUCAGAUCUGUUUGUCACAGUGAUUCCUACCACCCCUGCAUGAAUCACACUGGUUCACCUAUUAUGACCUGGAAGACUGUGGUCAAUGGUCAACACAAGCAGAAGUGACACCUCAUCACAAUUACCACCUGACCAUGGCCUUUUUACCUCAUUGAGGACUCUGAGGGGCAAGUUUCUCCCUAUUCUUUUAUAGAAACGUAAAAUGCCAGCAAAGCAUGAUUUCUACCCAAAAGAGUGCUAAACAGAGUGUGCAGAUGUUGCAGCCUCCUCCCUGGGAACUUCUGGGGAAGGGCACGCAGACCUUGGCAUACUUUGCUUCAGAAACGGGCAGAGAGUGUGUUCCUUCCAUCUACUUCCCAGGAGGGAAAUCCUCAUGUAAUGGGGUCAGGUGGG